rnacentral:rRNA from 1 species
UAAAACGUAGGUACCGAGCGUUAUCCGGAUUUACUGGGCGUAAAGCGUGUUCAGGCGGUCUAGCAAGUCGGGCAUGAAAUCUCUCGGCUCAACCGGGAGGGGUUGUCCGAUACUGCUGGACUGGAGGGCAGCAGAGGGUGGUGGAAUUCCGGGUGUAGUGGUGAAAUGCGUAGAUAUCCGGAGGAACACCAGUGGCGAAGGCGGCCACCUGGGCUGUACCUGACGCUAACACACGAAAGCUAGGGGAGCGAACGGG